GACGUAGGGCGCGAGCGUUGUCCGGAUUUAUUGGGCGUAAAGAGCUCGUAGGCGGCUUGUUGCGUCGACCGUGAAAACCCGGGGCUCAACUUCGGGCUUGCGGUCGAUACGGGCGGGCUAGAGUUCGGCAGGGGAGACUGGAAUUCCUGGUGUAGCGGUGAAAUGCGCAGAUAUCAGGAGGAACACCGGUGGCGAAGGCGGGUCUCUGGGCCGAUACUGACGCUGAGGAGCGAAAGCGUGGGGAGCAAACAGG
rnacentral:rRNA from 1 species